UUAAAUCACCAGUUUCUGUACGAUUACCAAAGUUAAACAAUGUUGAGCCUUUUUAGUACUGAGAUGAGUGACCGCUUAGGAAUACCAAGUGCUGUAAG